GAUGAACGCUGGCGGCGUGCCUAAUACAUGCAAGUCGAGCGAACGGACGCGAAGCUUGCUUCUCUGAUGUUAGCGGCGGACGGGUGAGUAACACGUGGAUAACCUACCUAUAAGACUGGGAUAACUUCGGGAAACCGGAGCUAAUACCGGAUAAUAUUUUGAACCGCAUGGUUCAAAAGUGAAAGACGGUCUUGCUGUCACUUAUAGAUGGAUCCGCGCUGCAUUAGCUAGUUGGUAAGGUAACGGCUUACCACGGCUACGAUGCAUAGCCGACCUGAGAGGGUGGUCGGCCACACUGGAACUUAGACACGGUCCUGACGACUACGGGAGGCAGCAGUAGGGAACCGUCCGCAAUGGUCGAAAGUCUUACGGAGCAACGCCGCGUGAGUGAUGAAGGUCUUCGGAUCGUAAAACUCUGUUAUUAGUGAAGAACAUAUGUGGAAGGAACUGUGCACAUCUUGACGGUACCUAAUCAGAAAGCCACGGCUAACUACGUG
rnacentral:rRNA from 1 species